GGGUCAGUAGGUUGGUCGUGCCACCGGUACGUACUGGUCUCACUGAUUCCUCCUUCCUGAAGAACCGUAAUGCCAUUAAUUUGGUGUUGCGGGGAAACAGGACUGUUACUUUGAAAAAAUUAGAGUGUUUAAAGCAAGCUAACGCUUGAAUACAUUAGCCCGGAAUAAUGAAAUAGGACGAUCGAUCCUAUUUUGUUGGUUUCUAGGAUUGACGUA
rnacentral:rRNA from 1 species